GCCUGGGUGGCUCAGUCAGUUGAGCGUCCGACUUCGGCUCAGGCCAUGAUCUCACGGUUCGUGGGUUCGAGCCCCGCAUCGGGCU
rnacentral:tRNA from 1 species